rnacentral:rRNA from 1 species
UGCUGCAAAGCUACCAUCCGUAGGAUUAUGACUGAACGCCUCUAAGUCAGAAUCCAUGCUGGCAGGGUUGAUAACCCCCUUGACCACUGUUACCUGAGUAGCAAUAGUCUUGUAUCAACACCACCCCCUGGCAGCGCUGCACCUUAAAAGUGUAUGUAUGCCGAAAAAUAAUUUCCAAUGAUGGUCAAGUCAAAUCCUUUGUAGACGACUUAAUUAAGGAACGUGGUACUGUAAGCA